CAGUACGUGAAACCGUUCGGGGGUAAACGGACAGAGCCCGUGAAUCCGGACGAGCGGAAUUCAGGAUGGACGGCGGCGCCUUUCAGCGGCGUCGUAUUUCGUCGAUUCGAUUUUUCCGCCGUCGACCCGUCAGCGGGUGCGGACGUCGCGACCCGUUCGUCGUCGGUCUUACGAGGCGCGUUUCGAGUUCUGCGUGAUCUUUCGCGCGCGCGUCUCUCGCGUGCGCGUUGUCGCGUGGAGGGCGCGUCAAGCGGGCCGGCGUCGCGGACGGUAGACGAAUUGCGAGCGGGUAAUCGACGCGGCCGAUCGACGUACGCGUGUGUAUGCGCGCGUGCGUUGGGCGCCGCGUCGACGCCGGUCAGCGACGACUCUUCGGGCCUCUUUCCGACCCGUCUUGAAACACGGACCAAGGAGUCUAACGUGCGCGCGAGUCGCGGGGUACCUCGAGUCGCGCUCGUUAUUCGCGACUCGGCACGAUACGAAACCCGUGUACGUACGUUGUGCGAAGGCGUAAUGAAAGUGAAAGGCGUCGCGCGUUUUUUUUCGCGCGCCGCCGGGGAAGACGGUGUUCCGAGUACACGUUCUUCGGCGUGCCGCGCUCUCACGCGCGCGGUUCGUUCCGAGGCCGGACGCCCGCAUUCCCGGGGCGUCUCGCCGAUCCGUCGGCGGUCGCGGACGACGGUUUCGCGUCGCCGUCCGUCCGCCGACGAAUCGAGGCGCACCUAUAGCGUGCACGUUGGUACCCGAAAGAUGGUGAACU
rnacentral:rRNA from 1 species